ensembl:misc_RNA Y_RNA Y RNA
GGCUGGUCCAAAGGUAGUGAGUUAUUUCAACUGACUGUUCGCAGUCAGUUACAGAUCAAAUUCUUUGUUCUAUUCUUUCCCGUGUCUCACUACUGCACUUGGCUGGUCUUAG